rnacentral:tmRNA from 1 species
GGGGCUUUAAAGGUUUCGACAGGUUGGCGAAAGCUGCUCCGUGAUUCAGGUCGAGAGUGAGUCUCCUCUCGCAAAUCAAAGGCUCAAAAAAAAAGUAACUGCGAACAACAUCGUAGCAUUUAAGCGUCAGGCAGUAGCUGCCUAAAAACCUCUCAAAGGUUCGCUUGUCUGUAGUUCGACUCCGUUAAGGACUAUAGACCAACCCCAACGGAUGCUCUCUUUAGCUGCCUUUGGUCGGCUAAGGAGAAAAGACUUCACCAAAGAAUCCUGUCAUCCGGGAUAAUGGAUGGUUCCCGCCCUGAGGGUCAGAUGGGCUAAGCCUGUGAAUGAACGGUAGGUCAAUACCCAAGGCGGACACGGGUUCAAUUCCCGUAGGCUCCACUU